UUUGGAGUUGUUUAAUACUUUUAGUUUCACUUCACGACCAUUUAACUGACAUCACUGGUACCCAACGAGAUCCUCGCGUUGCCAGCUCCACGUCAGUUCGCUGCUAGAACCCACGCAGUUCACACCUCCGUCCCGUCGACGUAGCUGCCUCUCCACUGGCCUUCUCCAAGGAGUCGACCUGUUAUGGGGGACCGGGAGAAGUCUCUCGAAACGCCAUGGCAUUCGUAUUCCUUCCCUGACUCAGAUAGGAAGAGAAGCGAGAAAGAGACAGAGAGGCGAAGAAGAGGAAGGUUUCCCCGGAGAGUGGUAGUGGUCGAAUGCGCUUUACCGCCAUCAGUCGCCGGUCCUAGCCAUGUAAACACCCCCGAGAAUUCUCGUCUAUGGACAAUGAUUACGACUGUCUUGCUAAGUGAUUUAAUUGAAGCUACCGUGUCGAUUAGGAGUGGUGCCUACUUUUCUGGCUUUCAUCACGUUUCCCCGUCUUCCGAUUCUCUGCCUGACACCUGUAUGAUCUGGACAAGUUCACUGCCGUGCAGCCUAACCAUGAUUCAGAUGAGGAUGCAGACUUCCUAAAAGCGCUCGAGAACAUUUCAGGCCACUUCCACGGUGAGGAGAAGGGUGAGCCAUUGUCUGAGCGUUUAGCUUCUACCUUCAACUCGUGCCUGAGACACCGGCCCUCGUCUGAAAGUGUCAAACUAACGUGUAAUAAGAUCAAGCUCCCUAUCAAUGUGCCAAACUUGAAAGUGCCACUGACUAAUUCAGCCAUAGCCAAAGCCAUGAAUUUAGGAGGGAAGUUAGUCGAUGCCCGGCUUUCCCAUACUAAUGGACAGCUUUCCAAGGCUUUGGUCCCCAUUGCCCCUUGCAUUACAUAAGCAAUAUUGAGGAUAAGAAAGGUAAGACCUUAAAUUGCUAUCUCAAUGGUCUAAAUAA